GACAACGUAGCUCAGUGGGUAGAGCAACUGGCCGAUAACCAGUCCGUCGCGGGUUCGACUCCCGCCGCUGUCU
rnacentral:tRNA from 1 species